rnacentral:rRNA from 1 species
UACGAAGGGGGCUAGCGUUGCUCGGAAUCACUGGGCGUAAAGCGCACGUAGGCGGCUUCUUAAGUCAGGGGUGAAAUCCUGGAGCUCAACUCCAGAACUGCCCUUGAUACUGAGGAGCUUGAGUCCGGGAGAGGUGAGUGGAACUGCGAGUGUAGAGGUGAAAUUCGUAGAUAUUAGGGAGAACACCGGUGGCGAAGGCGGCCCACUGGUCCGGUACUGACGCUGAGGUGCGAAAGCGUGGGGAGCAAACAGG